AUCGCUUCUCGGCCUUUAGGUAAGAUCAAGUAUAGUAUACUUUCCUAUCAGUUUAAUAUCUGAUACACCCUCUAUCUGAGGACAAUAUAUUAAAUGGAUUUUGGAGCUCAGAGUUGGAAUAGAGGCUUCCUCCAUCCACUCCAUGCAUCAACCUGGUAUUGCAGUACCUCUAGGAACGGUGCACCCCUU